rnacentral:rRNA from 1 species
AGUAACGGCGAGUGAAGCGGCAACAGCUCAAAUUUGAAAUCUGGCCUUUGGCCCGAGUUGUAAUUUGUAGAGGAUGCUUUUGGUGCGGUGCCUUCCGAGUUCCCUGGAACGGGACGCCUUAGAGGGUGAGAGCCCCGUACGGUUGGACGCCUAGCCUUUAUAAAGCUCCUUCGACGAGUCGAGUUGUUUGGGA